GGGUCCUGGAAGGUCAUAAAGUGGUUGGGAAGGUCCUGGAAGGGCAAAGAGGGGUGGAAUGGGGGGAGAUGGGAGGUCCUGGAAGGUCAGAAAGGCAUUGGAAGGGUCCUGGAAGGUCAUAAAGUGGUUGGGAAGGUCCUGGAAGGGCAAAGAGGGGUGGAAUGGGAGGAGAUGGGAGGUCCUGGAAGGUCAAAAAGUGGUUGAGAAGGUCCUGGAAGGUCACAAAGUGGUUGGGAAGGUCCUGGAAGGGCAAAGAGGGGUGGAAUGGGGGGAGAUGGGAG